UAGGGAAUCUUCCGCAAUGGACGAAAGUCUGACGGAGCAACGCCGCGUGAGUGAUGAAGGUUUUCGGAUCGUAAAACUCUGUUGUCAGGGAAGAACAAGUAUCGGAGUAACUGCCGGUACCUUGACGGUACCUGACCAGAAAGCCACGGCUAACUACGUGCCAGCAGCCGCGGUAAUACGUAGGUGGCAAGCGUUGUCCGGAAUUAUUGGGCGUAAAGCGCGCGCAGGCGGUUUCUUAAGUNUGAUGUGAAAGCCCACGGCUCAACCGUGGAGGGUCAUUGGAAACUGGGAAACUUGAGUGCAGAAGAGGAGAGUGGAAUUCCACGUGUAGCGGUGAAAUGCGUAGAGAUGUGGAGGAACACCAGUGGCGAAGGCGACUCUNUGGUCUGUAACUGACGCUGAGGCGCGAAAGCGUGGGUAGCGAACAGGAUUAGAUACCCUGGUAGUCCACGCCGUAAACGAUGAGUGCUAAGUGUUAGAGGGU
rnacentral:rRNA from 1 species